ACCUCAGUGGUAUAGUGGUAGCACGCAUCCCCCGUAUGAAUGAAACGCGGGUUCGACUCCUAACUGAGGUU